rnacentral:lncRNA from 1 species
AAUAUAUUUUCCUUUACUACUAUUCAAAUUCUCAGCUAACCAGAGAGCUUAGAUUUAGUGUUCAACUGAAAGAGAACAAAUUUGGUGGAGUUAAUCCUAAUUACUGAAUGAGCUUGGUUUGUGCUAAUUUCAUUCUUCAGAUCACUACCUGGAAUGAACUGGAAGAGCAAACAUGUCUCCCACAUUAGUUCCACAACACAGACUAGUAGUCAACAGAAAGAGAUGUAAAGGUGACUCAUCAUUCAUACAGGAGACUGUUUAAAUGUAUGUUUAUUUUACUGAAGAUGCUAUCAAAAGAGACAUUUUCAAGAAGGCCAUACAAACCUGGAAAUGCACAUACCAUUACAAUCAGUUGUGAUUUUAGGAAGAUCUAAAAACACUGUAAAAUGUUCAGGUAUGCCCUCCUGCAUUCAUCUUUAUUACUGCCUUGAGGAAACUUUCAUGAAUCCAACAAAUGAGGGUGAGGCUGCUCUAGACUGUGCCAGCAUCUACUAAUCAACUGUGAAACUGUUGCUGUGGUCACAGAGCUCACUCACACACCUAGCCAGAUUUUGUAUGCGUGGUUUUCACUGGGUAUUGGCCUCAGAGGCAUAGACUGCACUGACAAAAGAAUC